CCCUGACAAAGCUAAACCCACCGUGAGAUGGGGACGGAAAGCCGCGGAUCUUAUAAUUUACGAUUUGAGAUUGAAGAUUGUGAACAUCCGCAAUCUACAAUCUAAAAUCCCAAGACAGCCGGGUCGCCUGG
rnacentral:ncRNA from 1 species